AUCACUCCCGCAGGCAUCUGUGGGGGUCGAAAGCUCCGGCGGUGAAGGAUGAGCCCGCGGCCUAUCAGCUUGUUGGUGAGGUAAUGGCUCACCAAGGCGACGACGGGUAGCCGGCCUGAGAGGGCGACCGGCCACACUGGGACUGAGACACGGCCCAGACUCCUACGGGAGGCAGCAGUGGGGAAUAUUGCACAAUGGGCGAAAGCCUGAUGCAGCGACGCCGCGUGAGGGAUGACGGCCUUCGGGUUGUAAACCUCUUUCAGCAGGGAAGAAGCGAAAGUGACGGUACCUGCAGAAGAAGCGCCGGCUAACUACGUGCCAGCAGCCGCGGUAAUACGUAGGGCGCAAGCGUUGUCCGGAAUUAUUGGGCGUAAAGAGCUCGUAGGCGGUCUGUCGCGUCGGAUGUGAAAGCCCGGGGCUUAACCCCGGGUCUGCAUUCGAUACGGGCAGACUAGAGUGUGGUAGGGGAGAUCGGAAUUCCUGGUGUAGCGGUGAAAUGCGCAGAUAUCAGGAGGAACACCGGUGGCGAAGGCGGAUCUCUGGGCCAUUACUGACGCUGAGGAGCGAAAGCGUGGGGAGCGAACAGGAUUAGAUACCCUGGUAGUCCACGCCGUAAACGGUGGGAACUAGGUGUUGGCGACAUUCCACGUCGUCGGUGCCGCAGCUAACGCAUUAAGUUCCCCGCCUGGGGAGUACGGCCGCAAGGCUAAACUCAAAGGAAUUGACGGGGGCCCGCACAAGCAGCGGAGCAUGUGGCUUAAUUCGACGCAACGCGAGAACCUUACCAAGGCUUGACAUACACCGGAAACGUCUGGAGACAGGCGCCCCU
rnacentral:rRNA from 1 species